AAACACAUCAGCAAGACCUUUAUGUGUGAAGUUGACCAGUAUGAGACUGAAGCCAAAGCAGAAACUGGGUACUCUGUCAACAUACUAUAUA